rnacentral:snRNA from 1 species
GAAUGUGAGGGCGAUCUGGCUGCAACAUCUGUCACCCCAUUGAUCGCCAGGGUUGAUUCGGCUGAUCGGGCUGGCUAGGCGGGUGUCCCCCUCCUCCGCUUGCGCGCUCGGUCGAAGAGGACGACCUUUCCCCCUCCCCAUCAGAGGAGAGAACCGGUCUUCGGUCAAGGGUAUACGAGUAGCUGCGUUCCCCUGCUAGAACCUCCAAACAAGCUCUCAAGAAGGUGAAUAAUUAGCCAAAGAACGUAUAUGCACAGCCCAUGGUCACAGACAUCAGUG